UCCGGCUUAUCACCGGCAGUUUCCUUAGAGUUCUCAGCCGAACUGUUAGCAACUAAGGACGAGGGUUGCGCUCGUUGCGGGACUUAACCCAACAUCUCACGACACGAGCUGACGACAGCCAUGCAGCACCUGUCACCGGUCCAGCCGAACUGAAAGGAUCCGUUUCUGGAUCCCGCGACCGGGAUGUCAAGGCCUGGUAAGGUUCUUCGCGUUGCCUCGAAUUAAACCACAUGCUCCACCGCUUGUGCGGGUCCCCGUCAAUUCCUUUGAGUUUUAAUCUUGCGACCGUACUCCCCAGGCGGAGUGCUUAAUGCGUUAGCUGCGACACCGAAUCCGAAAGGAUCCGACAUCUAGCACUCAUCGUUUACGGUGUGGACUAC
rnacentral:misc_RNA from 1 species